GGACUCUGGAUUUGGGAGGCGGCGGAGUGUGGAAGGACCAUGGCAAUGGAGGAAGGUUGCAGCAGCAGCACGGACAAGCCUGUAGCUGUAGGUGGAGCGGCGCACAGACGGAGGCCCUCCCGCUGGUGGCCGUGGUGCUCCAGAGCUUAUGGAAUGGCUGCUCCUCUGUAGCUCGGUGCCAUGCCGUGGGGAUACAUUCGGAGCGGCGGUUCGUGGAAAAAGAGUAAUACGGCGGUGGUCUGCCUGCUUGCCGUCUUGCUGACGCUUCGGUGACAACGAUUGGAACGAGCAAUGUUCCCUUCCGCGUCCCCUCCCAGCAAUGAGCCUGUUCUUCACUUGGUACUAGAGAGAUGCAAGUGGUGAAAGAUAUUGCUGGAGAGUUGCCACUCACUUUAAUACCAAGGAGAUCAAACGGAAUAUAUCUGAUGUGCCUCAAAAUUAAAAGGAUCUUCUGAAGAAGAGUCCAUUUAAUGGCGUACAUGUUGAAGCAUCAGGAGUCAGUGGACCUAGA